rnacentral:lncRNA from 1 species
CACAGCGAUAUAUGUGCACCUAUGUUUAUAGUGGCACAAUUUGUAAUAGCUAAAGCUUGGAAACAGCCCAAGUGCCUAUCGACUGGAAACUGGAUAAAGAAGAGGACUGGGGCCAGGUUCAUCUGUGGGAACAGCGGAAGGGAACAGAAACAGUGAGCAUCAGUUCUGAGAUUCUGGCUGCUCCUGCUAACCUGUGGGCUCUGCGGCUGUGGACUCAGCUGACUGCAGAUGGAACAUGCAGUCAGGCCUAUAGGGGUUGCCCCUCUACUGAACACAGACAAGUGUGGUCAAAAGUGCCCACAGGGAGAGAAAGAAGCCCCUCUACCCCAGGGUUCCUAAGCAAACAUCAGCACUGAAGCCCAGGUGGCAGCUGGGUGCCCUGAGCGCCACUACAGUACCAGCCCCAGCCAAGGUACAAUAACGACUCCUUUGUUUCCGGGAGUUCUCAGUAGGGUCAGCUACAGGAUUUUCUCCAUAGCUAGGAGGUUUAGGAAAGGUGUCUCCAAAGGCACAAGCAGGGCUAUUGUACCCCAGUACCCCAGUGAGCUCUGAGGAGCAGCCACCCAUCAAGGACAACCUGGGUAGGGGUGAUACUUAUGACAUGGGUAGACCUGGACCCUUCUGUGAAAUCAGAGUGGUCUUAACUUUGUCUAUGACAGUGGAGGACCAUCCUUCUACAUUUGCAUUUCAUGGCAUGGAAGUUGGGCUGCUCCAGGGAGGCAGUGAAGAGAGGGAGAAAGAGCUCAGAAUGUGGAGCAGUACCAAUCUGGAUUUCCUUUUCCAUAAACACUUACUGGCUAUUGACUUUGCCCAAAGUGCUGAACUUCUCUGAGCUCAGCUUCUUCCUUUUACAACCACACCAACUUCUGAGAGCUGCUGUGGUAUUCAUUAGGAUGAGGGUAACACACAUAGCCCAGGACCUGGCAUAAUUAUAGCACACUGGCUGCUUGUGUGUAAGGAAGCUGGAUGAGAC